AUUGAACGCUGGCGGCAGGCCUAACACUUGCAAGUCGAGCGAGUGGCGGACGGGUGAGUAAUGUCUGGGGAUCUGCCCGAUAGAGGGGGAUAAAUACUGGAAACGGUGGAUAAUACCGCAUACUAUCGGAUGAACCCAUAUGGGAUUAGCUAGUAGGUGGGGGAAAGGCGCACCUAGGCGACGAUCCCUAGCUGGUCUGAGAGGAUGAUCAGCCACAAUGGAACUGAGACACGGCCCAGCCUCCUACGGGAGGCAGCAGUGGGGAAUAUUGCACAAUGGGCGAAAGCCUGAGGCAGCCAUGCCGCGUGUAUGAAGAAGGCCUUCGGGUUGUAAAGUACUUUCAGCGGGGAGGCGUUACCCGCAGAAGAAGCACCGGCUAACUCCGUGCCAGCAGCCGCGGUAAUUC
rnacentral:rRNA from 1 species